rnacentral:rRNA from 1 species
CAGCCGCCGCGGUAAUACGUAGGUGGCAAGCGUUGUCCGGUAUUAUUGGGCGUAAAGGGCUCGCAGGCGGUUUCUUAAGUCUGAUGUGAAAGCCCCCGGCUCAACCGGGGAGGGUCAUUGGAAACUGGGAAACUUGAGUGCAGAAGAGGAGAGUGGAAUUCCACGUGUAGCGGUGAAAUGCGUAGAGAUGUGGAGGAACACCAGUGGCGAAGGCGACUCUCUGGUCUGUAACUGACGCUGAGGAGCGAAAGCGUGGGGAGCGAACAGGAUCAGAGACCCCAGUAGUCCCUGUCUCUUAUAC